rnacentral:rRNA from 1 species
UACGUAGGGGGCAAGCGUUGUCCGGAAUCAUUGGGCGUAAAGAGCGCGUAGGCGGUCCGGUAAGUCGGUUGUGAAAGUCGGGGGCUCAACCCCCGGAGGCCGAUCGAUACUGUCGGGCUAGAGUCCGGAAGAGGCGAGUGGAAUUCCUGGUGUAGCGGUGAAAUGCGCAGAUAUCAGGAGGAACACCAAUGGCGAAGGCAGCUCGCUGGGACGGUACUGACGCUGAGGCGCGAAAGCGUGGGGAGCAAACAGG